UACAGGGGGUGCAAACGUUGCCCGGAAUCAUUGGGCGUAAAGCGCACGUAGGCGGUUCGUUAUGUCGGAUGUGAAAGCCCUUGGCUUAACCGAGGAAGUGCAUCCGAAACUGGCGAGCUAGAGUACGAAAGAGGAUCGCGGAAUUCCCGGUGUAGAGGUGAAAUUCGUAGAUAUCGGGAGGAACACCGGUGGCGAAGGCGGCGAUCUGGGUCGAUACUGACGCUGAGGUGCGAAAGCGUGGGGAGCAAACAGG
rnacentral:rRNA from 1 species